UGAAUGGGCGCAGCUGAUCAGCCAUGCCGCGUGUCUGAAGAAGGCCUUCGGGUUGUAAAGGACUUUUGUCUAGGAGCAAGACUUAGAGAUGAAUAGUUUCUAGGGGUGAGAGUACUGGAAGAAUAAGCACCGGCUAACUACGUGCCAGCAGCCGCGGUAAUACGUAGGGUGCGAGCGUUAAUCGGAAUGACUGGGCGUAAAGAGUGCGUAGGCGGCUACGCGAGCUUGAUGUGAAAUCCCCGGGCUUAACCUGGGAAUGGCAUGGAGGACAGCGUAGCUAGAGUCUGUCAGAGGUGGGUAGAAUUCCCUGUGUAGCAGUGAAAUGCGUAGAGAUGGGGAGGAAUACCGAUGGCGAAGGCAGCCUGCUGGGAUAAGACUGACGCUGAGGCACGAAGGCGUGGGGAGCAAACAGGAUUAGAUACCCUGGUAGUCCACGCGGUAAACGAUGUCAACUAGCUGUUGGGGGUUUGAAUCCUUGGUAGCGAAGCAAACGCGAGAAGUUGACCGCCUGGGGAGUACGGNCGCAAGGCUAAAACUCAAAGGAAUUGACGGGGACCCGCACAAGCGGUGGAUGAUGUGGAUUAAUUCGAGGCAACGCGAAGAAACUUACCUGCUUUUGACAUGCUUAGGACGGUUGAGAGAUUG
rnacentral:rRNA from 1 species